rnacentral:lncRNA from 1 species
AUGACUGCGCGGGAUCCCCGGCGUCUCCUGACUCGGGCGGCCUUCCCGGGGGCUCUCGGGUCCGCGCCCCCUCCCCCGGGGCUGCUGGGGAGCGGUUCUGAGGGAUGCGGGGCGGGGUCUCCGCCUCCGGAGCCGCCGCGGUGUGUGUGCGCGAGCGCGAGCGCGGCCAGGCGCGGGCGAGGAGCGGCUCCGAGGCUCGUGCGCGCCUCCCCAGCGCCCGCUGCGAGGAGACCCAGCCCUGCGCCCCGACUCCGGCCGCCGCGGGGGUCCGCCCGCCCCCGGGGACCUGCCCCGCCCCGGGGACCUCCGGCCGGGCGCGUCGCAGGGGCCGGGCGGGGCCGGGGGCGGGGCCGGACUCCGCGGGCUGCAGGCUCCCGGGACGCCGCGCUCGGCCCCGAGGAGGCCGCGGCCGGGCGAGCGGAGCGCUCCGAGUCCCGGCCCCGAGGUAAAGUUACGCGCGCGGCGGAGCCGGGGUCUGCUCCGGAGGGUCUCGGGGCCGAAGCGUGGGCUGGGGAAGAGGCAGGAGGCCGACCCCCGGGAUCGUGGGGACGGGGAGACGGGAGGGUCUACCAGGGAGGGCUCCCGGCGGGCGCAGGGUCCACGCUGGAGUCCCCCCGGCCGGGACCGAGCCGGGGGCGGCGGCGUCUUCCGGAGGGGCCCGGGCCGCAGCUGGCGGCGGGGCGGGGAGGGGGCACCGUCCCCACGCGGCGCUGGCCCCGCGCGCACACUUGCUACCCGGUUGCGCCGCGGAGGGGGGGCGACGGAGAUGCGAGAGGGGCACCCCCAGCCCCACGCCGAGAUCCGAGGCCCCGGGCAGGCCGGAGGGCGCCCGGAGGGAGGCGCGCUUCCAUGGAGGGCUGCGCGGCCCCAUCCCGACCGGGCUCCUACCUCCGACCCGUCUGUCCGCGUCGGAUCCGCCGGAGCCCAGGUGACGGGAAGGGCGGGAGGGCAGAGCGGCCUCCGCCACCGGGGGUGACCAGGGCUCCCCCUGCGCCCGCCCCCGCCUGCUGGGUGGGCGCACCUGCCUCGCGCGGGGAGCAGGAGGGACGUGGGCGAGGGCGCACCCUGUGGCUGACCCGUCGUGGGGCGGUGAACGCCACCCCUCAUGCCCACCCCUGCGCGCACUGCCGGGCCUCCUGCGGUCACCCAGGGCGAGACCUGAAUGGUGAGCCCCACCCCAGCCCCAGCGCAGUUAGCGGAGAAUUUUGCGAACUCGGGAGCCUGGGGAGCCUGGGAGCCGGCCCUAAGGGGCCGCCUGCACUGGUGCGGGCAGCAGAUCCCAGGCGGGGGCGGGGGCGACAGGGGGGUACGAGCGGGUACGCGGGGGAGGGCGUGCGGGCAGCAGGGGGGGGCGGACAGGGGCGGGGAGGGGGGUAA